rnacentral:pre_miRNA from 1 species
AUUAUUAUUUUUAAUGUUUCCUCUCUAAGGGUAUGUCUACACUACCACCCUAGUUCGAACUAGGGUGGUAGUGUAGACAUACCCUUAGAGAGGAAACAUUAAAAAUAAUAAU